rnacentral:rRNA from 1 species
GACGAACCGUGCGAACGUUGUUCGGAUUCACUGGGCUUAAAGGGCGCGUAGGCGGGUUUUCAAGUCUGGGGUGAAAUCCUCUCGCUUAACGAGAGAACUGCCCUGGAUACUGGGGACCUCGAGGGAGGUAGGGGCAUGUGGAACUUCCGGUGGAGCGGUGAAAUGCGCAGAUAUCAGGAGGAACACCAAUGGCGAAGGCAGCUCGCUGAGACGUGACUGACGCUGAGACGCGAAAGCGUGGGGAGCAAACAGG